rnacentral:rRNA from 1 species
AUUGAACGCUGGCGGCAUGCUUUACACAUGCAAGUCGAACGGUAACAGGCCGCAAGGUGCUGACGAGUGGCGAACGGGUGAGUAAUGCAUCGGAACGUGCCCAGUCGUGGGGGAUAACUAUCCGAAAGGAUAGCUAAUACCGCAUACGAUCUGCGGAUGAAAGCGGGGGACCUUCGGGCCUCGCGCGAUUGGAGCGGCCGAUGUCAGAUUAGGUAGUUGGUGGGGUAAAGGCUCACCAAGCCAACGAUCUGUAGCUGGUCUGAGAGGACGACCAGCCACACUGGGACUGGGACACGGCCCAGACUCCUACGGAAGGCAGCAGUGGGGAAUUUUGGACAAUGGGCGCAAGCCUGAUCCAGCAAUGCCGCGUGCAGGAAGAAGGCCUUCGGGUUGUAAACUGCUUUUGUACGGAACGAAACGGCUCUGGUUAAUACCUGGGGUCAUGACGGUACCGUAAGAAUGAGCACCGGCUAACUACGUGCCAGCCGCCGCAGUAA